CUUUGAUUAUGGCUCAGGACGAACGCUGGCGGCGCGCCUAACACAUGCAAGUCGAACGAGAGAUGAGGAGCUUGCUCUUCAAAUCGAGUGGCGAACGGGUGAGUAACGCGUGAGGAACCUGCCUCAAAGAGGGGGACAACAGUUGGAAACGACUGCUAAUACCGCAUAAGCCCACGGCUCGGCAUCGAGCAGAGGGAAAAGGAGCAAUCCGCUUUGAGAUGGCCUCGCGUCCGAUUAGCUAGUUGGUGAGGUAAUGGCCCACCAAGGCGACGAUCGGUAGCCGGACUGAGAGGUUGAACGGCCACAUUGGGACUGAGACACGGCCCAGACUCCUACGGGAGGCAGCAGUGGGGAAUAUUGCACAAUGGGGGAAACCCUGAUGCAGCGACGCCGCGUGGAGGAAGAAGGUCUUCGGAUUGUAAACUCCUGUUGUUGAGGAAGAUAAUGACGGUACUCAACAAGGAAGUGACGGCUAACUACGUGCCAGCAGCCGCGGUAAAACGUAGGUCACAAGCGUUGUCCGGAAUUACUGGGUGUAAAGGGAGCGCAGGCGGGAGAACAAGUUGGAAGUGAAAUCCAUGGGCUCAACCCAUGAACUGCUUUCAAAACCGUUUUUCUUGAGUAGUGCAGAGGUAGGCGGAAUUCCCGGUGUAGCGGUGGAAUGCGUAGAUAUCGGGAGGAACACCAGUGGCGAAGGCGGCCUACUGGGCACCAACUGACGCUGAGGCUCGAAAGUGUGGGUAGCAAACAGGAUUAGAUACCCUGGUAGUCCACACCGUAAACGAUGAUUACUAGGUGUUGGAGGAUUGACCCCUUCAGUGCCGCAGUUAACACAAUAAGUAAUCCACCUGGGGAGUACGACCGCAAGGUUGCAACUCAAAGGAAUUGACGG
rnacentral:rRNA from 1 species